rnacentral:rRNA from 1 species
GGUUAAGCGACUAAGCGUACACGGUGGAUGCCCUGGCAGUCAGAGGCGAUGAAGGACGUGCUAAUCUGCGAUAAGCGUCGGUAAGGUGAUAUGAACCGUUAUAACCGGCGAUUUCCGAAUGGGGAAACCCAGUGUGUUUCGACACACUAUCAUUAACUGAAUCCAUAGGUUAAUGAGGCGAACCGGGGGAACUGAAACAUCUAAGUACCCCGAGGAAAAGAAAUCAACCGAGAUUCCCCCAGUAGCGGCGAGCGAACGGGGAGCAGCCCAGAGCCUGAAUCAGUGUGUGUGUUAGUGGAAGCGUCUGGAAAGGCGCGCGAUACAGGGUGACAGCCCCGUACACAAAAAUGCACAUGCUGUGAGCUCGAUGAGUAGGGCGGGACACGUGGUAUCCUGUCUGAAUAUGGGGGGACCAUCCUCCAAGGCUAAAUACUCCUGACUGACCGAUAGUGAACCAGUACCGUGAGGGAAAGGCGAAAAGAACCCCGGCGAGGGGAGUGAAAAAGAACCUGAAACCGUGUACGUACAAGCAGUGGGAGCACGCUUAGGCGUGUGACUGCGUACCUUUUGUAUAAUGGGUCAGCGACUUAUAUUCUGUAGCAAGGUUAACCGAAUAGGGGAGCCGAAGGGAAACCGAGUCUUAACUGGGCGUUAAGUUGCAGGGUAUAGACCCGAAACCCGGUGAUCUAGCCAUGGGCAGGUUGAAGGUUGGGUAACACUAACUGGAGGACCGAACCGACUAAUGUUGAAAAAUUAGCGGAUGACUUGUGGCUGGGGGUGAAAGGCCAAUCAAACCGGGAGAUAGCUGGUUCUCCCCGAAAGCUAUUUAGGUAGCGCCUCGUGAAUUCAUCUCCGGGGGUAGAGCACUGUUUCGGCAAGGGGGUCAUCCCGACUUACCAACCCGAUGCAAACUGCGAAUACCGGAGAAUGUUAUCACGGGAGACACACGGCGGGUGCUAACGUCCGUCGUGAAGAGGGAAACAACCCAGACCGCCAGCUAAGGUCCCAAAGUCAUGGUUAAGUGGGAAACGAUGUGGGAAGGCCCAGACAGCCAGGAUGUUGGCUUAGAAGCAGCCAUCAUUUAAAGAAAGCGUAAUAGCUCACUGGUCGAGUCGGCCUGCGCGGAAGAUGUAACGGGGCUAAACCAUGCACCGAAGCUGCGGCAGCGACGCUGAUGCGUUGUUGGGUAGGGGAGCGUUCUGUAAGCCUGCGAAGGUGUGCUGUGAGGCAUGCUGGAGGUAUCAGAAGUGCGAAUGCUGACAUAAGUAACGAUAAAGCGGGUGAAAAGCCCGCUCGCCGGAAGACCAAGGGUUCCUGUCCAACGUUAAUCGGGGCAGGGUGAGUCGACCCCUAAGGCGAGGCCGAAAGGCGUAGUCGAUGGGAAACAGGUUAAUAUUCCUGUACUUGGUGUUACUGCGAAGGGGGGACGGAGAAGGCUAUGUUGGCCGGGCGACGGUUGUCCCGGUUUAAGCGUGUAGGCUGGUUUUCCAGGCAAAUCCGGAAAAUCAAGGCUGAGGCGUGAUGACGAGGCACUACGGUGCUGAAGCAACAAAUGCCCUGCUUCCAGGAAAAGCCUCUAAGCAUCAGGUAACAUCAAAUCGUACCCCAAACCGACACAGGUGGUCAGGUAGAGAAUACCAAGGCGCUUGAGAGAACUCGGGUGAAGGAACUAGGCAAAAUGGUGCCGUAACUUCGGGAGAAGGCACGCUGAUAUGUAGGUGAAGUCCCUUGCGGAUGGAGCUGAAAUCAGUCGAAGAUACCAGCUGGCUGCAACUGUUUAUUAAAAACACAGCACUGUGCAAACACGAAAGUGGACGUAUACGGUGUGACGCCUGCCCGGUGCCGGAAGGUUAAUUGAUGGGGUCAGCGCAAGCGAAGCUCUUGAUCGAAGCCCCGGUAAACGGCGGCCGUAACUAUAACGGUCCUAAGGUAGCGAAAUUCCUUGUCGGGUAAGUUCCGACCUGCACGAAUGGCGUAAUGAUGGCCAGGCUGUCUCCACCCGAGACUCAGUGAAAUUGAACUCGCUGUGAAGAUGCAGUGUACCCGCGGCAAGACGGAAAGACCCCGUGAACCUUUACUAUAGCUUGACACUGAACAUUGAGCCUUGAUGUGUAGGAUAGGUGGGAGGCUUUGAAGUGUGGACGCCAGUCUGCAUGGAGCCGACCUUGAAAUACCACCCUUUAAUGUUUGAUGUUCUAACGUUGACCCGUAAUCCGGGUUGCGGACAGUGUCUGGUGGGUAGUUUGACUGGGGCGGUCUCCUCCUAAAGAGUAACGGAGGAGCACGAAGGUUGGCUAAUCCUGGUCGGACAUCAGGAGGUUAGUGCAAUGGCAUAAGCCAGCUUGACUGCGAGCGUGACGGCGCGAGCAGGUGCGAAAGCAGGUCAUAGUGAUCCGGUGGUUCUGAAUGGAAGGGCCAUCGCUCAACGGAUAAAAGGUACUCCGGGGAUAACAGGCUGAUACCGCCCAAGAGUUCAUAUCGACGGCGGUGUUUGGCACCUCGAUGUCGGCUCAUCACAUCCUGGGGCUGAAGUAGGUCCCAAGGGUAUGGCUGUUCGCCAUUUAAAGUGGUACGCGAGCUGGGUUUAGAACGUCGUGAGACAGUUCGGUCCCUAUCUGCCGUGGGCGCUGGAGAACUGAGGGGGGCUGCUCCUAGUACGAGAGGACCGGAGUGGACGCAUCACUGGUGUUCGGGUUGUCAUGCCAAUGGCACUGCCCGGUAGCUAAAUGCGGAAGAGAUAAGUGCUGAAAGCAUCUAAGCACGAAACUUGCCCCGAGAUGAGUUCUCCCUGACCCUUUAAGGGUCCUGAAGGAACGUUGAAGACGACGACGUUGAUAGGCCGGGUGUGUAAGCGCAGCGAUGCGUUGAGCUAACCGGUACUAAUGAACCGUGAGGCUUAACCUU